rnacentral:rRNA from 1 species
UACGUAGGUGGCAAGCGUUGUCCGGAUUUACUGGGCGUAAAGGGUGCGUAGGCGGCGGGGUAAGUCUGAUGUGAAAUCCCGGGGCUCAACCCCGGAACUGCAUUGGAUACUGCCCUGCUUGAGUACUGGAGAGGAGACUGGAAUUUACGGUGUAGCAGUGAAAUGCGUAGAGAUCGUAAGGAAGACCAGUGGCGAAGGCGAGUCUCUGGACAGUUACUGACGCUGAGGCACGAAGGCCAGGGGAGCAAACGGG